CCUACGGGAGGCAGCAGUGGGGAAUAUUGCACAAUGGGGGAAACCCUGAUGCAGCGACGCCGCGUGAGUGAAGAAGGAAUUCGUGAUGUAAAGCUCUAUCAGCAGGGAAGAAAAUGACGGUACCUGAGUAAGAAGCCCCGGCUAACGACGUGCCAGCAGCCGCGGUAAUACGUAGGGGGCAAGCGUUAUCCGGAUUUACUGGGUGUAAAGGGAGCGUAGACGGCAGUGCAAGUCUGGAGUGAAAGGCGGGGGCUCAACCCCCGGACUGCUCUGGAAACUGUACGGCUGGAGUGCAGGAGAGGUAAGUGGCAUUCCUAUUGUAGCGGUGCAAUGCGUCGCUAUUAGGCGGAACACCAGUGGCGAAGGCGGCUUACUGGACUGUACCUGACGUUGCUGCUCGCCCGCGUGGGGAGCAAACCGGAUUAGCUACCCUAGUAGUC
rnacentral:rRNA from 1 species